AGCGAACGCUGGCGGCAGGCUUAACACAUGCAAGUCGAGCGGGCACUUUCGGGUGUCAGCGGCGGACGGGUGAGUAACGCGUGGGAACGUGCCCUCUGGUUCGGAAUAACUCAGGGAAACUUGAGCUAAUACCGGAUACGCCCUUUUGGGCAAAGGCUUUCUGCCGGAGGAUCGGCCCGCGUCUGAUUAGCUAGUUGGUGAGGUAACGGCUCACCAAGGGGACGAUCAGUAGAUGGUCUGAGAGGAUGAUCAGACACACUGGGACUGAGACACGGCCCCGACUCCUACGGGAAGGAGCAGUGGGGAAUAUUGGACAAUGGGCGCAAGCAUGAACCAGCCAUGCCGCGUGAGUGAUGAAGGCCUUAGGGUUGUAAAGCUCUUUUAUCCGGGACGAUAAUGACGGUACCGGAGGAAUAAGCCCCGGCUAACUUCGUG
rnacentral:rRNA from 1 species